GCCGUUCUGCCGAGUCAUGGGGCCAUUAUGAGAGUGAUUCAGGAUUUCAGGCCUUUUGGGCUAUUUCCCCGGCGUGUGUGCAAGAUGUCUGAAGUCCUCGCUGCAGUAGGUGUGUGUGUGCGGAGAGACAGUAGCGAGCGUGAGGCAGUGUUCGUGGUUGCAAGGUAGCCACGAUGGAAGAUCAAGAGGCUGCAGCGCGCACGAGCAGAGGGUGGCGAUGUUGUGGAUGAAUCCAUGCAAAGUAGAGUAGACAAAUUUGAGUUCCGUGGCCUCCAUCGGUGUCGUCCUUGAGUUUCAGAAUAUGGUUAGUAAGAAAAUUAGGAAUUGGAGGACGUAAAUAAGACGAAGAUGGCAGAUGUGACGAGAAGACGAAAGGAGAAGAUAUAGGUGGAAUGAAGUAAAUUAAUAAAAAAAAAGCAAAUACAAGACCACACAGUGUGAGCAAGGCGGGGCCACUGACUGACAGCUGAUACGGAGGAAACUGGAGGUGAUGCAAGAUCCUGACGUCGUUACUGGCGGCUGCCGCGGCCGCCCCACAGGGCUACGGGCUCCCCGUGCCCUCCGGCCCUAAACUGAGCUCCUGCCGUGACGGCGAGGUCCUUCACGUCGAUGGCUCCUGCGUCGUUCCCGAUGUGACCCGCCACGUGUAGGGUUUUUCGCCGGCCCCGC